rnacentral:rRNA from 1 species
UACGGAGGGUGCAAGCGUUGCUCGGAAUCACUGGGCGUAAAGCGGGCGCAGGCGGUCCAGCAAGUCGGGUGUGAAAGCCCGGGGCUCAACCCCGGAAAUGCAUUCGAAACUGCCGGACUAGAGUACGGGAGAGGGGAGCGGAAUUCCUGGUGUAGAGGUGAAAUUCGUAGAUAUCAGGAGGAACACCGGUGGCGAAAGAGGCUCCCGGGUCCGAUACUGACCCUCAUGCCCGAAAGCGUGGGUAGCAAACAGG